ensembl:snRNA
GUGUUGUACGCAAGGAGAGGUUUGCACCCCUGUUAACAAGGAUAGAAGAGGACCUGGAGCCUAAAAUACAGAUGAACUUAAGACAUUGCCACUUAUUUUGUGUUGCAUAACCACUGUCAUUU